UCCGGUUGAUCCCGCCGGACCCCACUGCUAUCGGGAUAGGACUAAGACAUGCUAGUCGUGUGCCUCAGCCAAAACGAGGCACGGCGCACAGCUCAGUAACACGUGGCUAACCUGCCCUUAGGACGAGAAUAACCCCGGGAAACUGGGGCUAAUGCUCGAUAGGUGAAGAACUCUGGAAUGAGUCUUCACUUAAAAGAGUCUGCGUUAUGCUCGUAGAUUUCGCCCAAGGAUGGGGCCGCGACCGAUCAGGUUGUUGGCGAGGUAAUGGCUCACCAAGCCUUUUACCGGUGCGGGCCGUGAGAGCGGGAGCCCGGAGAUGGGCACUGAGACAAGGGCCCAGGCCCUACGGGGCGCAGCGGUCGCGAAAACUUUGCAAUACACGAAAGUGUGACAGGGCUAUCCCGAGUGCCAUCCGCUGAGGAAGGCUUUUACCCAGUCUAGAAAGCUGGGGGAAUAAGGAGAGGGCAAGUCUGGUGUCAGCCGCCGCGGUAAUACCAGCUCUCCGAGUGGUGUGGAUGUUUAUUGGGCCUAAAGCAUCCGUAGCUGGCUAAGUUAGUCCCCCGUUAAAUCCAACGAAUUAAUCGUUGGAUCGCGGGGGAUACUGCUUGGCCAGGGGACGAGAGAGGCAGACGGUAUUUCCGGGGUAGGGGUGAAAUCCUAUAAUCCCGGGAAGACCACCAGUGGCGAAGGCUGUCUGCUAGAACGCGCCCGACGGUGAGGGAUGAAAGCUGGGGGAGCGAACCGGAUUAGAUACCCGGGUAGUCCCAGCUGUAAACGAUGCAGGCUAGGUGUUUGGACGGCCACGUGCCGUUCUAGUGCCGCAGGGAAGCUGUUAAGCCUGCCGCCUGGGGAGUACGAUCGCAAGAUUGAAACUUAAAGGAAUUGGCGGGGGAGCACCACAAGGGGUGAAGCUUGCGGUUUAAUUGGAUUCAACGCCGGA
rnacentral:rRNA from 1 species